GUGGGGAAUAUUGGACAAUGGGCGAAAGCCUGAUCCAGCCAUGCCGCGUGUGUGAAGAAGGUCUUCGGAUUGUAAAGCACUUUAAGUUGGGAGGAAGGGCAGUAAGUUAAUACCUUGCUGUUUUGACGUUACCGACAGAAUAAGCACCGGCUAACUUCGUGCCAGCAGCCGCGGUAAUACGAAGGGUGCAAGCGUUAAUCGGAAUUACUGGGCGUAAAGCGCGCGGAGGUGGUUUUGUAAGUUGGAGGUGAAAUCCCCGGGCUCAACCUGGGAACUGCCUCCAAAACUGCAUGACUGGAGUACGGUAGAGGGUAGUGGAAUUUCCUGUGUAGCGGUGAAAUGCGUAGAUAUAGGAAGGAACACCAGUGGCGAAGGCGACUACCUGGACUGAUACUGACACUGAGGUGCGAAAGCGUGGGGAGCAAACAGGAUUAGAUACCCUAGUAGUCC
rnacentral:rRNA from 1 species